rnacentral:rRNA from 2 species
UAAGGUCACGGCGAGACGAGCCGUUUAUAAUUACGAUAGGUGUCAAGUGGAAGUGCAGUGAUGUAUGCAGCUGAGGCAUCCUAACAGACCGAGAGAUUUGAAC